rnacentral:rRNA from 1 species
ACGGAGCACGCCGCGUGCCGGAGGACGGCCUUCGGGUUGUAAACGGCUUUUCGGGGGAAGAAACGGACGGUACCCGAGGAAUAAGCCCCGGCUAACUCCGUGCCAGCAGCCGCGGUAAUACGGAGGGGGCAAGCGUUGUCCGGACUUACUGGGCGUAAAGCGUGCGUAGGCGGCAGGGUGCGUCGGUGCUGAAAGCGCCCCGCUUAACGGGGGGAGGGGGGGCGAUACGACUCCGCUCGAGGUAGUCAGAGGUUGGUAGAAUUCCGGGUGUAGUUGUGAAAUGCGUAGAUACCCGGAGGAAUGUCGGUGGCGAAAGCGACCAACUGGGGCUGGCCUGACGCUGAGGCACGAAAGCGUGGGGAGCGAACCGGAUUAGAUACCCGGGUAGUCCACGCCGUAAACGAUGUCGGCCUGGUGUUCCGCAGUAUGAAAGUGCUGCUGAGUGCCGAAGGGGGGGCGCUAAUCCGACCGCCUGGGGACUACGAGCGCAAGCUUAAAACUCAAAGGAAUUGACGGGGGCCCGCACAAGUAGCGUAGCGUGUGGUUUAAUUCGACGCAGCGUGAAGAACCUUAGCCAGGUUUGACCUGUUGCCCCAGCGCAGAGCUAUGUGUGACCUUCGAGGGUGCCACACACGUGCUGCAUGGCUUUCGUCAGCUCGCGUCGUGAGUCGGUGGG